rnacentral:rRNA from 1 species
GGAAUUCGGACUCACUCCCAACCCCUGUGACAUACCUUAUGUUGCCUCGGCGGAUCAGCCCGCGCCCCGUAAAAAGGGACGGCCCGCCGCAGGAACCCUAAACUCUGUUUUUAGUGGAACUUCUGAGUAUAAAAAACAAAUAAAUCAAAACUUUCAACAACGGAUCUCUUGGUUCUGGCAUCGAUGAAGAACGCAGCAAAAUGCGAUAAGUAAUGUGAAUUGCAGAAUUCAGUGAAUCAUCGAAUCUUUGAACGCACAUUGCGCCCGCCAGUAUUCUGGCGGGCAUGCCUGUUCGAGCGUCAUUUCAACCCUCAAGCCCAGCUUGGUGUUGGGAGCUGCAGUCCUGCUGCACUCCCCAAAUACAUUGGCGGUCACGUCGAGCUUCCAUAGCGUAGUAAUUUACACAUCGUUACUGGUAAUCGUCGCGGCCACGCCGUUAAACCCCAACUUCUGAAUGUUGACCUCGGAUCAGGUAGGAAUACCCGCUGAACUUAAGCAUAUCAAUAAGCGGAGGAA